rnacentral:lncRNA from 1 species
ACAUCUUUGUCUAUAUAAACUGUCAUUUUCUUUAUUUCUUUUUUUAUAGGUCAGUUUUUAAAAAUAACAUAUUAUGAUUUCAAUAAAUUAUAUUUUAGAUAUUUAGAUUUAAAAAAAUCUCAAAUAUCAAUACAUUACAAUUUAAGUCCAUAAAAUUAAUCAUAAAAAAACUGCAUAUUCUCUUGUUUUAGUGUUUAAAAAAUAUUUUAAAUUUUUGAAAAAAAGUAUAAAAUAAAUAAAACAAUCUAACAAUGUUGAUUUAGUGUAGUAAACAUUGUCACAUUAAGAAAGCUAAUAUGUUAAACAAAUACAUUAAGUAUCUAAGUAAUAGUAUAUGUAUAUGUCAUUUUAAUUCAAAUACAUGCAUUUGGAGUGUUUCAACCCUUCCUAUAAUGUUCAAAGCAAAUUUAGCUAUUUUUUCAUUUUCC